AUACGGAGGGUGCAAGCGUUAUUCGGAUUUACUGGGCGUAAAGGGCGCGUAGGCGGCUUGAUAAGUCAGUUGUGAAAGCCCGGGGCUCAACCCCGGAAGUGCAAUUGAAACUAUCAGGCUUGAGUAUGGUAGAGGGAAGUGGAAUUCCAGGUGUAGCGGUGAAAUGCGUAGAUAUCUGGAGGAACACCGGUGGCGAAGGCGACUUCCUGGACCAAUACUGACGCUGAUGCGCGAAGGUGUGGGUAGC
rnacentral:rRNA from 1 species